rnacentral:rRNA from 1 species
AUUGAACGCUGGCGGCAUGCCUAACACAUGCAAGUCGAGCGAGCGGCGGACGGGUGAGUAAUGUCUGGUGACUUCCCGAUAGAGGUGGGUAACUCCUGGAAACGGUAGCUAAUACCGCAUACUAUCGGCUUAACCAUAUGGGAUGAGCUAGUAGGUGAGGUAAGGGCUCACCUAGGCGACGAUCCCUAGCUGGUAUGAGAGGAUGAGCAGCCACACUGGGACGGAGACACGGCCCAGACUCCUACGGAGGCAGAAGUGGGGAAGAUUGCACAAUGGGGGCAAGCCUGAUGCAGCCAUGCCGCGUGUAUGAAGAAGGCCCUAGGGUUGUAAAGUACUUGCAGUAGGGAGGCGUUACCGACAGAAGAAGCACCGGCUAACUCCGUGCCAGCAGCCGCGGUAAUUC